UUGCACGCUGGCGGAAUGCUUUACACAUGCAAGUCGCACGGCAGCACGGGGGCAACCCUGGUGGCGAGUGGCGAACGGGUGAGUAAUACAUCGGAACGUGCCCGGUCGUGGGGGAUAACGUAGCGAAAGUUACGCUAAUACCGCAUACGAUCUGAGGAUGAAAGCGGGGGACCUUCGGGCCUCGCGCGAUCGGAGCGGCCGAUGUCAGAUUAGGUAGUUGGUGGGGUAAAGGCCUACCAAGCCGACGAUCUGUAGCUGGUCUGAGAGGACGACCAGCCACACUGGGACUGAGACACGGCCCAGACUCCUACGGGAGGCAGCAGUGGGGAAUUUUGGACAAUGGGCGCAAGCCUGAUCCAGCCAUUCCGCGUGCAGGACGAAGGCCUUCGGGUUGUAAACUGCUUUUGUAUGGAACGAAAAGGCUCUGGCUAAUACCUGGGGCUCAUGACGGUACCGUAAGAAUAAGCACCGGCUAACUACGUG
rnacentral:rRNA from 1 species